rnacentral:rRNA from 1 species
UACGGGGGGGGCAAGCGUUGUUCGGAAUUACUGGGCGUAAAGGGCUCGCAGGCGGCCAACUAAGUCAGACGUGAAAUCCCUCGGCUUAACCGGGGAACUGCGUCUGAUACUGGAUGGCUUGAGAUUGGGAGAGGGAUGCGGAAUUCCAGGUGUAGCGGUGAAAUGCGUAGAUAUCUGGAGGAACACCGGUGGCGAAGGCGGCAUCCUGGACCAACACUGACGCUGAGUGAGCGAAAGCCAGGGGAGCAAACGGG